CAGGCAUUCUGCCUAAAAGGAAAAUCGUGUUGUUCAUGCAUUUAGCACUUCUUCAGAGAGACCUGCCUCUGGAGGCCAUGAGAUGAUAUUUACCCUGUUGAGACGAAAACAUAAGUAGGAUACCUUUGAGAAGGCAUCCAGAUUUCUUGGCAGGAUAAACCUUGUCUCUCUGAGGCACUGCUGUAUCAUCAAAAUGUGCAAAAAUAAAGAAUAUCAGCUUUGAAAGGC